rnacentral:rRNA from 1 species
GACGAACGUUGGCGGUGCGCUUAAUGCAUGCAAGUCGAGGGAGAACCAGUUGGUCCGUAAGGAUCGGUUGGGGAAACCGGCGAACGGGUGCGUAACACGUGAGGAACCUACCCCGAAGACCGGGAUAGCCCGGGGAAACCCGGAUUAAUACCGGAUACCCUCUUUGGACCGCAUGGUCCGUUGAGGAAAUGGUCUGCCGCUUCGGGAUGGCCUCGCGGCCUAUCAGCUUGUUGGUGAGGUAAUGGCUCACCAAGGCAAAGACGGGUAGCUGGUCUGAGAGGACGAUCAGCCACACUGGGACUGAGACACGGCCCAGACUCCUACGGGAGGCAGCAGCAGGGAAUAUUGCACAAUGGGCGAAAGCCUGAUGCAGCGACACCGCGUGUGGGAUGAAGGCCUUCGGGUUGUAACCCACUUUCAGGAGGGACGAAAAUGACGGUACCUCCAGAAGAAGGCCCGGCCAACUACGUGCCAGCAGCCGCGGUAAUACGUAGGGGCCAAACGUUGUCCGGAUUUAUUGGGCGUAAAGGGCUCGUAGGCGGUCCAACAAGUCGGUCGUGAAAGCCCGGGGCUCAACCCCGGGACGCCGGUCGAAACUGUUGUGACUAGGGUCCGGUAGAGGUGAGUGGAAUUCUCGGUGUAGCGGUGGAAUGCGCAGAUAUCGAGAGGAACACCAGUAGCGAAGGCGGCUCACUGGGCCGGUACCGACGCUGAGGAGCGAAAGCAUGGGGAGCAAACAGGAUUAGAUACCCUGGUAGUCCAUGCCGUAAACGAUGAACACUAGGUGUGGCGGACUCAUUGACGUCUGCCGUGCCGAAGCUAACGCAUUAAGUGUUCCGCCUGGGGAGUACGGCCGCAAGGCUAAAACUCAAAGGAAUUGACGGGGCCCCGC